UUCGACGUGACCGAGUUAGCUCAGGCUGAGGAGCUAAUGCUAUAUGUUACUGUGCGUUAGCAGAGGUAGCUUUUACCCAGUGCUUGUCUAGUUGGAGGUUGGUAGCCUGGGGCAUUACCAGCUUAUCCUGGAGUCAUAGUGUGGAUCAGAUGUCCCACCUGGUGCCAGACAGCUGCAGAGACCUGGAACACAUCCUCAGAGUUCUGGACGUCUGUAUCUGAUGGCGUGGACUGACGUGGAAAGGCCUUCUCCCCUUCUGUACACUUUUAGUUUUAAUUGUUGUUCUUGUGUGUUUUGCAAUACAUUCUCUAUAUAUUUGCA